UGCUUUUAAUGUGGUAAAAUUGAAGUUCUUUUGGCAAAUUUCGUUUGUAAUAAAAUUAAAGUUUUGCAUCAAAUGCUAAAGGCCCACGAAGAGCUACGAUGGAACCUGCUCUCCGCCAUGCCUAACCAGGAAGCAACAUUGUUGAGGACAAGUUGAAAAUUACGAGUGUCAUAUCCUGUCGCCAUGUAAACGAUACCUACAUUAUAUUCAACAAGAACUCUUGUGACCCAAGCAACGGUACUCCCCUACAGAAAACCACUGAAUACAUGUAUGCAGAAUAUACAAGAGUGAAGAGAGCAAGCACAGUAAUUUGCAUGGCUGAAUGGUGGUGAAAGCUUGCUACAGAACGUUACAGAGGAUGCCUGCAUUGAGGCUGGGGCAAAACAACCAAUUCCUAUUCAGAGACGGGGGAACACGCACAGGCUCUUGUGUUUGCUAUUUGUUGCCUGCUGUGUCUGCUCGAUGUGGAAGGGAGGCCUGAAGUGAUACACAAUAUGUACCGAUUUGGUGAAACUCCUGAGCAAGAUCCGAGGAUCAUAAUUCGAAAUGGUCACGGGAUUCCGGCAAAACUAAGGAGAUUGUGCCAGUCUUUGAUACCAGUGGUUCAUUAUGCAAACACAAUACCAAGCACUUGGUGAGUCAAUACCAUAUCCUCAUGUGGAACUUGUUACAGAGACACGCUGCCACUGGAAUCAAUUUGGCACAUGCAGAACUAAGGCCACUGUACCAGGAAAGACAUCAAAAUGUUCAACUAAACAAUGCAUUUCUUACUCUGUUCAAAACCAUCAGUGUGUACCUCGGAGAACGUUGACUUUGUGAUACUGAAAUGACACUUUUGUGAACAUGGAAGAAAUAUCAUUAUCAAAUAUUUAAAGGAUCAAGAGGUGUCUGCAACCAAAUUCCGUUUUUAAUCAUCACCACAAGAUGAAAUUCUGGAAGGAUCUGAUUUGAUGGCCACUUACUGCUCAUAAUUAGUGGCCAUUUCAAUGAUGGCAUUGACAAACCCGUCAGACCCAGGCCGAGAUUGCUCCUUGAAACUACAGUCGGUUGUCACGGCUUCAUUAACAGUGGGCUUUCAAUUUUCAAAUUCAUUUUUUUUUAAAACAUCAAAUUAAGAAAUGAAACUCAUAUCACUUUGAUUUUUUCAUUAUUCAAGCAAACUGCCACACACCAUAAUUACAUUUUGUUGUUAAAAGAAAGACGAUUAGAAAUGAAGGAUCAG